AGGUUAAAACUCAAAUGAAUUGACGGGGGCCCGCACAAGCGGUGGAGCAUGUGGUUUAAUUCGAUGCAACGCGAAGAACCUUACCUGGUCUUGACAUCCACAGAACUUUCCAGAGAUGGAUUGGUGCCUUCGGGAACUGUGAGACAGGUGCUGCAUGGCUGUCGUCAGCUCGUGUUGUGAAAUGUUGGGUUAAGUCCCGCAACGAGCGCAACCCUUAUCCUUUGUUGCCAGCGGUUCGGCCGGGAACUCAAAGGAGACUGCCAGUGAUAAACUGGAGGAAGGUGGGGAUGACGUCAAGUCAUCAUGGCCCU
rnacentral:rRNA from 1 species